rnacentral:sRNA from 1 species
AUGGAUCACGCGGACAUUGCGGUUCCAGGCGCGCCCACCACGCCCACCUGACGGCUGCUCGCGAGGUUGUGUCAGCC